GCGUCUGUAGCCUAGUUGGUAAAGGCAGCACUCUAGAUGCUGAGGUUGUGAGUUUGACUCUCACCAGACACA
rnacentral:tRNA from 1 species